GUGCUGAUAAUGUUGCUUUAAGAGGGAAAGAAUGGUAACAGGUUCAUUGAGUCCCUAGGUUCCUAUGUAUUCAAGGCUUCCUGUGUGAACUGUCAUCACCCAGCAUGCUUUGCAUGUUUUAUGUAAAGCUGACCCAUAGGGGGGAUAGAGGAGAGGGCUCAUGUUGUUUAUUUGUGACUUCUACAUGCUGUGUUCUCGGUGUGAAGCUGCAUAAAUUUAAAACACAGUUAAUUGCACAUGGGCAGGGAAAUGAAGCAGAUCUUUCCGAAUGGUUUUGCCUUCGCUGUGUUUUGAACACCACAUAUCCUGAAGUCAGCUGGAGCAACCAGAGAAUUAACAGCAUGUUUUCCCUCUUGGGUUCAUGCGUUUCUAUGGCGAUUCCUGAUAGGAAGACACUCGCCGGCGUUCAUUAUUCCUUUUUAUUCUCUGCAUGUAUGUGGGACAGAAUGAGGUUGAUUAAUGACUGUGUGACAGAUUAUCCUUGAGGUUAUUCUUUACAGUGAUUAUGGUUCCUCAGUAUUACAGACAUUAGCAGUAAAGAGAGGUCAGGAAAGGUCUCCUCUCACACUGUGUAUGACACAUCAGUCUCUAUGUCUGUAAUCAGGCUCGUAUUGUGUUUCAGCGAUAAAACCAUACAGGGUGAAUCCUCUGCCUGUCUGAUGAGUCUCUGAUGAGAGAAGAACGAAGAAAACUCUGGAAACAGUGCAGAAGAAUAUGCGAUAUUAGAAAUUAAAAUAAAACUUUUGUCUUCUUUUGUGCAAAUAUUUGUGUUUUCAAGAGCGAGGAGAGGAGAGGAGCAGGCGGUGUGCGACCAAGGGUCAGAGGCUUUAGCGAUUGGAAGUGUGAGACCUAAAAGAUGAACAGGCUAAAAAUACCUCCACAUUCAACAUGAACCAUAGACUGUAUACUGUGGACGACUAGGCUCUGCCUUCCGUCAUUAUAUGUAUUUGAAGCUGAAUUGCUCUCAGUGUUUGCGGGUUUUUCUCCACUUAACGGAACAACCACUAGCGCAAUCGUGUUGUACGCAUUCGGCGGGAGAGUCGCUGAGAGUCGCUGUGAUGGCGCUCGGCUCAAACAGCGUAUCCCCCGGGUGAGCUACGCAAUCUUAUAAUAAUAAUAAUAAUAAUACAUUUUAUUUAAAAGCGCCUUUCUGAGCACCCAAGGACACUGUACAGGGCAUAAAAACACAGCUAGAAACAUAAUUAAAAUAAAUAAAAACAACAUCCAAGUGUGAAGGUAGACAGUUAAAGUGAAUAUGCGAUUUGGAAUAGGUGUUUUUUGAGUUUGGAUUAUAUUAUAGAUAUUAUAUUAUAGAUAGAGAUAUAGAUAUUAUAUUAUAGAUAGUUUCAUUUUUCUUCUCCUUUUUCUAGAUUUUUUCUUAAUUAUUACAUUUAUAUAAGUUCUUAAUAUUAGGAUCUUUAUUUUUAUAACUGCAUUUUUGCACUCUUUGUCUGUGAUGCUGCUGUGACAAAAUAAAUUUCCCCCAUGGGGGAUCAAUAAAGGAAUAUUCUAUUCUAUUCUGUCUUACGCCCAUAGGCUGUCAAUCAUAGAAAACAUGAACCCCCUAAUAACUUUUAAAAAUGGAGCUGCACAGAAAAAAAGAGGACUUGAGCACAAACCAGUCUUACAGUGACUACAUGUCAACAUCACAACCAGGGAGCAGAUAAAUUUAUAAUCUGUGUCAUUAAUUUCUAAAGUUUGUCCACAGCUCCAUAGGGAUUGCUGGAGGAGGCGGGAUUUAUGACCUAUACUGCAGCCCGUCAACAGAGGGUGCUGUUCUCGCGGUGGCUUCACCCAGCGAGGAGGCAGACGGCGUCCAUUUUAUAUACAGACUAUGACACAGACUUAAAUUAGCUUACUGCAGCUUUAAAGACAGAAACAUUUGGACUUCAAACAAACGACUUUUUAUUGACCAGAUCGUUACUUUUGUAUUUCAACAAAGACGUUAACCUGAUAUAGUUGACAAAUGAACACUGCCAUGUUAAAAGCAGCAUUUUUAAAAUACAAAUUGAGUCUUAAAAUUACAAAGUCAAACUACUUUCAGCUUGUAAAUCUGCCACAAUGGCUGACAUUUGUCCUCGUUUCUGUGUCUUACAGUUUAUUGUUCAGCCGCAGCUCAUCACAGGCUUUAGAGGAGGACGAGGUCUUUUAAACAUCAAUUGACAAUUAACAAAGACUUCAUAACAGGCUGCUAUUUUUCACACAAGGACCGUGUUCUCUGCCACAAUGUAGAUAACGUGAACACAAACGCAGAGCCGCAGAACAAAAGCAUUUUCCUUUCUUUAUAUUCAGAAAGGAAGACAAAAGAGUUAUUGGCAGGCUCAGACAAACGGCCCGGGUUUUACUGUCACACACACGACUCCACGUUUCCAAACAAAGACCGAACACUGCAGGCAGGAACCCUCUGGCAGCCGUCUGUUUUUCCCUGAAUUUAUCUAAUAUUGCAGGAUUCAGAGGUAAUGAAAGCCCCGGCUGUGUCCGUGAAAAGGACGCACUCUGGGAAGGGAAUACACAACAACCUCGUCUGAGCAAUUUGUCUCCAUUAGAAAAAAAAAUCGUCUCAACAGGAGCCGCUGUGAAUAAAUCAAACUGUGAUCGAACAUCCUUCAUGCCAGACGCCCACGUGCGUUUUGUCAUUCCUCGCAGCCAUUUAAUAAAACAAAGGCUUCUCCGCAACCUUUUGAGUGUUGCCAUUUCCAUGGCAACCGCAUGUACCGCGGCCAUAAGGUUUGUGAAUGCAGCCCAGAUUUCCAGUGAGGGCCACGCUGAAGUGUAGCAGAGGAGGACAUGCAUGUAAGGAAAACAAUCCGCUUUGUUUCAGACACAGAUCGAAUUAAUGAGCAAAGCCAGGAAGGAAAAACUCUGAUCUGUUUAAUUUUAAUUAUUCGUUUAAUCUUUAUCGAGCCGGGUUGGUCCUGCUGAGGUCGGGGUGCAGGAUACUUUUAGAAAGCUUUCUGUCUCAUUUCAUCGGCACCUUUUUUUAAAACUAGAAAUCUAGAAAUAAGACAUUUUCUAGACUUGUCAGGUAAAUCCGUCUUAGGUCGCUUUCACACCAGAGCUGUUCGGUCCGCUUUAAACGGACCAGAGUUCUUUCCUCGGAUAGUCUGCUUCGUUUGGGCAGGUGUGAAAGCU